ACCGGUUCAAUUGAAACGGAGAACCCGCUUCCAAAAACGGAUCUAUUGGUCCAGCGCUUGAAUGAUUCGAUCACAGCGGCGUUGAAAGAGUCGAAGACAUGGGAAACCGAUGCAUCUACGGAUGGCGAACAACAGGUGCCUG
rnacentral:ribozyme from 1 species